rnacentral:rRNA from 1 species
UACGGGGGGAGCAAGCGUUGUUCGGAUUUACUGGGCGUAAAGGGCGCGUAGGCGGCCACCGCAAGUCAGUUGUGAAAUCUCUGGGCUUAACCCAGAAAGGUCAACUGAUACUGCGGGGCUAGAGUGCAGAAGGGGCAACUGGAAUUCUCGGUGUAGCGGUGAAAUGCGUAGAGAUCAAGAGGAACACUCGUGGCGAAAGCGAGCUACUGGACAAUUCCUGACGCUGAGGCUCGAAGGCUAGGGUAGCGAAAGGG